UCUCACUAUUUUUUUAUUUUUAUUUUUUGGCUUUUUGAUUUGAUAAGAAGUCACACUAGUUUGAUCUCUCCACAAAUAAUCAUAAAACCCUCCUAACAUAAUCAACUUCUUUUCAUAAGGUUCUUCCUUGUAUUUUCGCUUGAAACAAGAAGGGCAGGCAUCCAAAGGGAGGAGAAUAUUCUGGUGAUGUUUCUGGAUUAAUUGGGAUCGGGAGAGUAUUGAAGAGUCGCUGUCUGUUGCCGUUUUCUCAAUGGAUUCCGGAAUAUUCUGAAAAUCCUUUUUGCAGCGCCCUCCUAUCGGAGACGGAUGCCACUGUUUCAUUGAUAAUGGAAGACGAUGCUUGGUCCUGCGUUGUCUUUUUAUCCAGAUCGUGGCUUGUUUUGAGAUUACAUGGGAGAAAGAAAAUUUGGAGCGGAUGCAAGUGCAAGAAAAUCCACAGCUACUGCGGUUAUAACACAUUUAAUGUUAUUGGGA